ACAACAGGUGUAGUAGACCUUACAGUGAAAUGCUGAAUACAACAGGUGUAGUAGACCUUACAGUGAAAUGCUGAAUACAACAGGUGUAGUAGACCUUACAGUGAAAUGCUGAAUACAACAGGUGUAGUAGACCUUACAGUGAAAUGCUGAAUACAACAGGUGUAGUAGACCUUACAGUGAAAUGCUGAAUACAACAGGUGUAGUAGACCUUACAGUGAAAUGCUGAAUACAACAGGUGUAGUAGACCUUACAGUGAAAUGCUGAAUACAACAGGUGUAGUAGACCUUACAGUGAAAUGCUGAAUACAACAGGUGUAGUAGACCUCACAGUGAAAUGCUGAAUACAACAGGUGUAGUAGACCUUACAGUGAAAUGCUGAAUACAACAGGUGUAGUAGACCUUAGUGAAAUGCUGAAUACAACAGGUGUAGUAGACCGUACAGUGAAAUGCUGAAUACAACAGGGGUAGUAGACCGUACAGUGAAAUGCUGAAUACAACAGGGGUAGUAGACCUUACAGUGAAAUUCUGAAUACAACAGGUGUAGUAGACCUUAGUGAAAUGCUGAAUACAACAGGUGUAGUAGACCUUACAGUGAAAUGCUGAAUACAACAGGUGUAGUAGACCCUAGUGAAAUGCUGAAUACAACAGGUGUAGUACACCUUACAGUGAAAUGCUGAAUACAACAGGUGUAGUAGACCUUAGUGAAAUGCUGAAUACAACAGGUGCAGUAGACCUUAGUGAAAUGCUGAAUACAACAGGUGUAGUAGACCUUACAGUGAAAUGCUGAAUACAACAGGUGUAGUAGACCUUACAGUGAAAUGCUGAAUACAACAGGUGUAGUAGACCUUAGUGAAAUGCUGAAUACAACAGGUGUAGUAGACCUUACAGUGAAAUGCUGAAUACAACAGGUGUAGUAGACCUUACAGUGAAAUGCUGAAUACAACAGGUGUAGUAGACCUUACAGUGAAAUGCUGAAUACAACAGGUGUAGUAGACCUUACAGUGAAAUGCUGAAUACAACAGGGGUAGUAGACCUCACAGUGAAAUGCUGAAUACAACAGGUGUAGUAGACCUCACAGUGAAAUGCUGAAUACAACAGGUGUAGUAGACCUCACAGUGAAAUGCUGAAUACAACAGGUGUAGUAGACCUUACAGUGAAAUGCUGAAUACAACAGGUGUAGUAGACCUUAGUGAAAUGCUGAAUACAACAGGUGUAGUAGACCUUAGUGAAAUGCUGAAUACAACAGGUGUAGUAGACCGUACAGUGAAAUGCUGAAUACAACAGGGGUAGUAGACCGUACAGUGAAAUGCUGAAUACAACAGGGGUAGUAGACCUUACAGUGAAAUUCUGAAUACAACAGGUGUAGUAGACCUUACAGUGAAAUGCUGAAUACAACAGGUGUAGUAGACCUUACAGUGAAAUGCUGAAUACAACAGGUGUAGUAGACCUUACAGUGAAAUGCUGAAUACAACAGGUGUAGUAGACCUUACAGUGAAAUGCUGAAUACAACAGGUGUAGUAGACCUUAGUGAAAUGCUGAAUACAACAGGUGUAGUAGACCCUAGUGAAAUGCUGAAUACAACAGGUGUAGUAGACCUUAGUGAAAUGCUGAAUACAACAGGUGUAGUAGACCGUACAGUGAAAUGCUGAAUACAACAGGGGUAGUAGACCGUACAGUGAAAUGCUGAAUACAACAGGGGUAGUAGACCUUACAGUGAAAUUCUGAAUACAACAGGUGUAGUAGACCUUACAGUGAAAUGCUGAAUACAACAGGUGUAGUAGACCUUACAGUGAAAUGCUGAAUACAACAGGUGUAGUAGACCUUAGUGAAAUGCUGAAUACAACAGGUGUAGUAGACCCUAGUGAAAUGCUGAAUACAACAGGUGUAGUAGACCUUAGUGAAAUGCUGAAUACAACAGGUGUAGUAGACCGUACAGUGAAAUGCUGAAUACAACAGGGGUAGUAGACCUUACAGUGAAAUUCUGAAUACAACAGGUGUAGUAGACCUUAGUGAAAUGCUGAAUACA